rnacentral:rRNA from 1 species
UAACGCGGGGGCAACCCUGGCGACGAGUGGCGAACGGGUGAGUAAUACAUCGGAACGUGUCCUGAGGUGGGGGAUAACCUGGCGAAAGCCAAGCUAAUACCGCAUACGCUCGGGAGAGGAAAGCGGGGGAUCGGAAACGACCUCGCGUCGCAGGAGCGGCCGAUGUCCGAUUAGCUAGUUGGUGGGGUAAAGGCUUACCAAGGCGACGAUCGGUAGCUGGUCUGAGAGGAUGAUCAGCCACACUGGGACUGAGACACGGCCCAGACUCCUACGGGAGGCAGCAGUGGGGAAUUUUGGACAAUGGGGGCAACCCUGAUCCAGCCAUGCCGCGUGAGUGAAGAAGGCCUUCGGGUUGUAAAGCUCUUUCGGUGGGAACGAAACGGUUACCCCUAACACGGGUGACUACUGACGGUACUCACAGAAGAAGCACCGGCUAACUACGUGCCAGCAGCCGCGGUAAUACGUAGGGUGCGAGCGUUAAUCGGAAUUACUGGGCGUAAAGCGUGCGCAGGCGGUGGCUCAAGCCAGGCGUGAAAUCCCCGGGCUUAACCUGGGAAUGGCGUUUGGGACUGGGUCGCUAGAGUGUGGCAGAGGGAGGUGGAAUUCCACGUGUAGCAGUGAAAUGCGUAGAGAUGUGGAGGAACACCGAUGGCGAAGGCAGCCUCCUGGGCCAGCACUGACGCUCAUGCACGAAAGCGUGGGGAGCAAACAGGAUUAGAUACCCUGGUAGUCCACGCCCUAAACGAUGUCAACUGGUUGUUGGGGAAGGAAACUUCCUUAGUAACGAAGCUAACGCGUGAAGUUGACCGCCUGGGGAGUAC